rnacentral:lncRNA from 1 species
GCCGCCAGCCGGGCCGCCGCGGAACUCCACAAGAUCUCCAAGUCCCGCACCCGGUUCAAGCGUCCCGCUGCUACCAAAUCGAAGCCUGGAGCCGUACUAGUCGAGGGAGCCGAACCGGACUCCGCCCGGGGUUGUGAUCUUAGCUGGCCCCGUUGUUACCCGGUCGACUUCAAGCGCGCUGGGAGUCAUGAGUCGGCCGGGAGCCAGGCGACCGAGCCCGACGCCGGGGAGGCCGCUGCGGCCGCAGGCGGGGGGGACGGCGAUAGCCGGGAGAACGAGAGCGAGUUCUCCGGGGAGACAGGGGAAGGGUCGCACGUGAGCCAAGGCGAUCCAAACCUGGCCGAGGAGAGCGAGGUGGCGCUGGAGCUGACCCUGGGGUUCGAACCGGUCUCCAGGGCCGGCCGGACCACCCGGCCCGCGGCGGAGGUGCGGUGCGACGUUAGCAGCUGGGGAUCUGAUACGUGUCGGAUGGAUCUCGGUCUCGAACUGCCGGCGUGAUGAUGAGAAAUUAAGCCGUCUGUAGCAUAUAAAUGGUGAAGACGAGG